GGGGCGGCCAUGUUGCCAGGAACCUGUCGGGCAAGGGCAAGAAGGCUGCAGGAAUCCCGUGUUGGGUGGACCCAGUUUCUAAUGGUCUGCAUUUGCAUAUCAAAGGUUGCCGGCCUGGCUUAAGAGCCGGGGCUUUACUGGAAACUUUUCUGGAGAGGCUUUAAAAAACGAAAACUUCCAAGGACCCGUUUUCCUCUCUGUUUGCUAAAAUAAUUUCUUAAUAACUCCUACAACACUAAUAGAGGUUUGUUGGAGAGAAGGACAUCAAAGACCCCCGAAGGGACUCACCACAAGAGAAGGGGAAGUCUUGACGGGUGAUUAGAGUCUAAUACCAAGCCCUACGUUGUGGAUGGAUGAAAUUUCUGAAACAGUGCAUGUGGUCCAGGCUGGAGAUCUUUUCUAAUUGAAGACUACUCCACUGGUCAGUGGCCUCUACAAACCUGAUCAUCCUGAGCUGGACAUAGUACUCUGGACCUGUUCCUACCAUAGAGAUCUGGACAAAGUGAUGUCACAUAGGAAGUUUACUUGCCUUGGAAACAUGGGAGCUAUCACUGAUUUUACAGAAUUGCAUUAUAGUCCAUCAACUUUCCAGCAGGAGUCAACAAGUUUUCCUAUGAAAAAAUACUCAUGGAUCUCCUGCUGCUGCUUCAAGAAGGCUAUGGGCAGAUUCUGUUUGAAGGAGUAUAUAGCAUGACUUUUUUCAGUCCCAGUCAUGUAAGUGCUGCCAUAUUCCUGACAGGAAAGAAGAGGUGCCAGCAGAAUCACUGGGAGUUCUCCUUCUUACAAAGCAGCAGGAGCUGCCUGGAAGGUUCCCAAUCACUUUCUCUUGACCAGAUCUCCUUGUCUCCAUUUAUGCUAAUUUCUCACAUUCUUGGAUGCUGCUUCCAGACCAUAUUCCUAAAAUAUGAAUCAAUAAUAUUCCUCCUCUGCUCAAAAACCUACCAUGGCCUCUUAUUGCUGAUUGCUUAAAGUCUAUCCUUCCAGCAUGCAACCAGAGAAUAAAUUCAUUAGGAAAUGUAGCCCCAUUCUCUUGGUAAUACUUAUUUUCCUCUUUUCUAUACCUUGAACCCUCUGCUUUUGUCUUGUUUGGUACCAGUGUUCUACUUUUGUUGGUGGCGUGUUCUCUCCUUGAACUGCCUUUUCUUCUCCCUUUUGCCUACUCAAAUCUCUGCCUUUCCUCCAGCCCUCAUCCAUCCCUGAGGCCUUCUCUAUCUUCCUAUCAUUCAGAUAAAAAGGCCUUUUCUGCAAGAAAGGAACAAAGCCAUACAAAGGCAGAAGGGGAUUUAGGGGUGGGAAAGUUUACCCCUCACCUUUAAUUCCAUGUCGUCUAAAUAUAUAAUUGCCACAUUUCAUUCCAUUUUAACUCCACCUAGUAGAUGUUCCGUGGCAUCUUAUUUUUAAUUCUUUCAUUUAUUUUUUGAAACAGAAAGUUACCACUUUCUUCCAAAGUUGUCAGUCCUCCUCUGUGUUCUGUCUCUUUGAUGCUACCUUAUACUCAGGAUGCACAAACCUGAAAUUCCAAACAUCGUCCUUCAGAAUUCUUUUCUCUCCUUUGCUGCACAUCUGGUCUUCAAGAACUAUAGUUUCUAAUGUUAACAUCUUCUCCUCCUCUUCACUGUUGCUCCCUUAGUUGAACCUUCACCGUUUCCCUGAAGAUUUUCUGUAGCAGUCUCCCAAUAGAUCCCAUAUGCUUAAUUCAUUUUCCACGUUUGUCUUUGUUCUGAAGGGAAAAUAUGAUCAUUUAAGGAAAAAAUUCCGGAGUGGCACUCCAUUGCUUUUAGUGUACAAUUGAAAUUUUGUAGUUGAACUGCCACGUUUUCUCUGAUCUGUCUUGCUUCUUUCCUCGCAUCCUUUCUUCCUCUUACUGUCAGUCUUAUCCUUCCCCACCACUUGACCCUGAACAUGACAAGGUCCUUUAUGACCCACAUCACUCUCUCUACCUGCAAUGUGUUACCCCAUCUUUUCUCCUCAUCCCCUAUUCAAUCACCAAAAUUCCUUAAAAGAAUCAUCACAACUGAGGAAGUUUCCAGAACAUCCAGAUCUAGGUAACAUUCUAUUUCUCUGUGUGUACUUAAUCCUAUCACAGCACUUAAUCGUCACUUUUAAUGUUGGUCUGCCCAAAUAAAGUCUGAACAUUGUGAAGGCAGAGCACCUAGCAUCUAGCACAAGACCUGGCGAAAAUGAAGUCCUCGUAAAUAAUUAUGAAUGCAUGAAUAAAUAGCAUGUAAUCCAAAG
rnacentral:lncRNA from 10 species